AAAUUUAUUUCACUUAUUUCAAUACAAAAGGGGAAAUUACUCUCAUAUGGGGUCUUCGUAAAGCUUCGGUCAAAAUAAAACGUAACAUCCUGAGGAUAUAACAUGCAAUUUGGAAAAAUAAAUUUGUUGCUUUCUUUUACGGUUGCGGAGGAGAUCUGAUAACAAGAAAAACAGUGUUUGGGGAGAUAACUCUUACAAAGAAAAGUGUUCGGUUAAACAGGGUGAGUUUCAAAAGCGUAUAGACUGUAUGAUAUCAUAUACAAAAAAACUAAGCAACAUCUUUUGAAACAUUUUUACAUUGCAAGAAAAAAAUUAGGCGGAAGAAAAAAAAAAAAAAAUAAUCAGAACAAAAUCAAUAGGUCUUUCCACACGGAAAGGUGGAAAGACCUAAAAACACAUCGACGAAAACAAAUUGGUUUGCAAUUGUAAAAAUAUAUAAAUCUAGUGUACAAUUAAGAGUAUUUAAAUUUGUCUUCUUAAAUGAAAUCAACACAAAAAAAGGAUAUAAUGAAAAUAGCUGAAUACAUCUAAGUUUUGCCUGAGAAACUUGCAACCUUAAUUGCUAAGUAACAUUUAGAUUUGAAUGGAGAAUUUAAGAGAAAUUGUUAUAAAUAUUGCCAAAACCGAAGCACGUAUUCCUAAGGUGAAAAUCCCCUCCGCAACUUUCGGUCACCCAUCAACGGUAUCGCGAAUAUCAGUCCAGUAGGUAAAUGUAAGAUUUAUAGAGGGUAGUAUACCUUACAUAAUAAUGACUUCACGGUUCAGCUAGCAAGCAAUUAAGCUAACCAAAGAUAUUACCUUUACCUACAAACUCAAUGAAAUCGGCUGUAACAACAUUCAGUAUAUCUGAGGAUACGCCAUUUAUUUAUUUUCGUUACUUUAUAAGAAAAUUCUGACAUAAAGAUUGCAAAUUUAUGCAAAAAAAUGGAAAAACAAAACUACCAAACGCAAAGC
rnacentral:lncRNA from 1 species